ACGGCUCAGUAACACGUGGCUAAUCUGCCCUUGGGACCGGAACACCCCCGGGAAACUGGGGCUAAUUCUCGAUAGGUGAAGAACUCUGGAAUGAGUCUUUGCCCAAAAGACGUUUACGUUAUGCUCGUGGGCGUCGCCCAAGGAUGAGGCCGCGACCGAUCAGGUUGUUGGUGAGGUAAUGGCUCACCAAGCCUUUUACCGGUGCGGGCCGUGAGAGCGGGAGCCCGGAGAUGGGCACUGAGACAAGGGCCCAGGCCCUACGGGGCGCAGCAGUCGCGAAAACUUUGCAAUACACGAAAGUGUGACAGGGCUAUCCCGAGUGCCAUCCGCUGAGGAAGGCUUUUACCCAGUCUAGAACGCUGGGGGAAUAAGGAGAGGGCAGGUCUGGUGUCAGCCGCCGCGGUAAUACCAGCUCUCCGAGUGGUGUGGAUGUUUAUUGGGCCUAAAGCAUCCGUAGCUGGCUAAGUUAGUCCCUUGUUAAAUCCAACGAAUCAAUCGUUGGAUUGCGGGGGAUACUGCUUGGCUAGGGGACGAGAGAGGCAGACGGUAUUUCCGGGGUAGGGGUGAAAUCCUAUAAUCCCGGGAAGACCACCAGUGGCGAAGGCUGUCUGCUAGAACGCGCCCGACGGUGAGGGAUGAAAGCUGGGGGAGCGAACCGGAUUAGAUACCCGGGUAGUCCCAGCUGUAAACGAUGCAGGCUAGGUGUUUGGACGGCCACGUGCCGUUCUAGUGCCGCAGGAAAGCUGUUAAGCCUGCCGCCUGGGGAGUACGAUCGCAAGAUUGAACUUAAAGGAAUUGGCGGGGGAGCAC
rnacentral:rRNA from 1 species